AGCGUGGCAAAGCCGGUCUUCGAUCUCCAAGAGGUUCCAGAGGCCACAGGGGUUCUCCAGGUGAAAAGGGUCUCCAAGGUCUCAGUGGACCCCAUGGCAUUUCUGGGGGCCCUGGACUUCGGGGUUUGAAGGGCACGAAAGGGCUCAAGGGGCAAAAGGGUGACAGAGGCAGCGAGGGGUUUCUUGGGCCACAAGGUGACACUGGCUUUAAGG